AUGCUAGGGAGACGGGCUGGACGCAAGGAGAGGACUAGGAUCCUCCUGUACUGCUUCUUCUAUCAAUGUAUUUCUUCCCCAUGGAGCAGAUCUGAACUACACAACCCCUACGCCUUCUUGCUCAUAUUAGAGGAUCCAAAAAAUAGACGCCAUAUUAUACUGGCACUAGAGCUAUGUGGUUUGCUCUCUGAUUGCUCUCAACCAUGUGUUCAAAUUUUUGUGCAGAUGCAGCAGGAAAAUGCAAUCUCUCUUUGGUUCAGACUUGAGAUAUGUUUUACUAUGGCUUUAGAUAUGCGCAGAUGCAUGCUAGUGCUAGUGCAGAUGUUGAGGAAAUUAUAG
rnacentral:rRNA from 1 species